rnacentral:rRNA from 1 species
UACGUAGGGCGCAAGCGUUGUCCGGAAUUAUUGGGCGUAAAGAGCUCGUAGGCGGUUUGUCACGUCGGAUGUGAAAGCCCGGGGCUUAACCCCGGGUCUGCAUUCGAUACGGGCAGACUAGAGUGUGGUAGGGGAGAUCGGAAUUCCUGGUGUAGCGGUGAAAUGCGCAGAUAUCAGGAGGAACACCGGUGGCGAAGGCGGGUCUCUGGGCAGUAACUGACGCUGAGGAGCGAAAGCGUGGGGAGCGAACAGG